UACAGAGGGUGCAAGCGUUAAUCGGAAUGACUGGGCGUAAAGGGCGCGUAGGUGGUUAUUUAAGUGAGAUGUGAAAUCCCUGGGCUUAACCUAGGAACUGCAUUUCAUACUGGAUGACUGGAGUACGAGAGAGGGUAGUGGAAUUUCCGGUGUAGCGGUGAAAUGCGUAGAUAUCGGAAGGAACACCAGUGGCGAAGGCGACUGCCUGGCUUGAUACUGACACUGAGGCGCGAAAGCGUGGGUAGCGAACAGG
rnacentral:rRNA from 1 species